UACGUAGGUGGCAAGCGUUGUCCGGAUUUACUGGGCGUAAAGAGCGCGCAGGCGGUCGUUCAAGUCGCGUGUGAAAGCCCCCGGCUCAACUGGGGAGGGUCACGCGAUACUGAUCGACUCGGAAGGCAGGAGAGGGUAAGUGGAAUUCCCGGUGUAGUGGUGAAAUGCGUAGAUAUCGGGAGGAACACCAGUGGCGAAGGCGACUACCUGGCCUGUUCUUGACGCUGAGGCGCGAAAGCUAGGGGAGCAAACGGG
rnacentral:rRNA from 1 species